rnacentral:rRNA from 1 species
GAUGAACGCUGGCGGCGUGCCUAAUACAUGCAAGUAGAACGCUGAAGGAGGAGCUUGCUCUUCUGGAUGAGUUGCGAACGGGUGAGUAACGAGUAGGUAACCUGCCUGGUAGCGGGGGAUAACUAUUGGAAACGAUAGCUAAUACCGCAUGACAACAGUUAUUGCAUGAUAACUGUUUAAAAGGGGCAACUGCUCCACUACCAGAUGGACCUGCGUUGUAUUAGCUAGUUGGUGAGGUAACGGCUCACCAAGGCGACGAUACAUAGCCGACCUGAGAGGGUGAUCGGCCACACUGGGACUGAGACACGGCCCAGACUCCUACGGGAGGCAGCAGUAGGGAAUCUUCGGCAAUGGACGGAAGUCUGACCGAGCAACGCCGCGUGAGUGAAGAAGGUUUUCGGAUCGUAAAGCUCUGUUGUAAGAGAAGAACGAGUGUGAGAGUGGAAAGUUCACACUGUGGCGGUAUCUUACCAGAAAGGGACGGCUAACUACGUG